rnacentral:rRNA from 1 species
AACGAACGCUGGCGGCAGGCCUAACACAUGCAAGUCGAACGGGUCCUUCGGGACUAGUGGCGGACGGGUGAGUAACGCGUGGGAACGUGCCCCUUGGCUCGGAAUAGCCCCGGGAAACUGGGACUAAUACCGUAUGUGCCCGCAAGGGGAAAGAUUUAUCGCCAUUGGAUGAACCCGCGUCGGAUUAGCUAGUUGGUGUGGUAAAGGCGCACCAAGGCGACGAUCCGUAGCUGGUCUGAGAGGAUGAUCAGCCACACUGGGACUGAGACACGGCCCAGACUCCUACGGGAGGCAGCAGUGGGGAAUAUUGGACAAUGGGCGCAAGCCUGAUCCAGCCAUGCCGCGUGAGUGAUGAAGGCCUUAGGGUUGUAAAGCUCUUUCGCCGACGAAGAUAAUGACGGUAGUCGGAGAAGAAGCCCGGCUAACUUCGUGCCAGCCGCCGCCGUAAAAC